ensembl:lncRNA
CGCCCUGUCCCGGAAUGCACCGCGUAUCUUGACGCAUGGGCAAGUGGGUAAUGUGUUUUAGUAGAAUGUAAUGCAGUUUCCGGGACUACAGAGGCAGUGUUUGAAGUUAACGCGGGCAAUUCUUUUUUUUGUGUGUCAACAACGUCUUCGGCCUUGUAAACAUCGAUAUAUAUUUUUCACGAAAUAAGGAUACGUGUAUAUGUUAACUUGAUGGCAAGUUUAGUUUCAGCGUGCAAAUAAAACCCUCCUUUUUCACUAACUGGGAGAAAUGGCGGUCGGGCUGUACUAUGCUAGCUAGACCGAUUUAUUAUCACGCUAACGGGCUAAAUACAUUUGUCUACACGGACAGAAAUGGACUCCAAAUACCCAAAUCUGACGAGACCUCAGAAGAAGCGCCGGUACUUCUCCAUUAAAACGAGCGCAUCAACCAUGAAGGGAAAUGCCGAACUGGACAUCGAUGACUCCAAUACUUGGUUCAAAAACUUGGAUUCUCCCUCUGAUGUUGGGGAAGAGCUUCCCCCUCUGCCUCCCUCUCCGACCUUCACCCCUGUAGAGAAGGAGGAGAAGACUGGUAACCCUGUAGAGAAGGAGGAGAAGACUGGUAACCCUGUAGAGAAGGAGAGGAGAGAACCAUCAGUUCCAGAGACUAGUGAAGCGGUGCCCCAAGGAGAAGAGAUGCACAAGGAGGGGAGAGCAGAGAGCACUUUGCUGGAUACUGAGAGCCCAUUUAAAAAGCACGCUCCCAUCAAGACCUCCAGCCCCAUGAAGCAGCAGGAGGGGGAUGAGGACAAGGACAGAACAGCCUCUCCAUUGCUCUUGACCUGUGGUGAUGAUGAUGAUGAUGAAGAUGACCACGGCCCUGUAAAGCAGCCUAUCACUGCCCUGACACCACAGUGCAACGGACAGGCAGCAGACGGGGGAUAUGAUGCAGUGCUGGACUCUCCUCCCUGUCGGUUUUCUGUCGGCAAACAAAAGACGCCAUCUCGCAGUAUGCCGAAGAAGGAAGAGACACCUUGGAAGUUGACUCUGUCCCUGUGCAGCAUAGAGACAGAAGAGCCUCCCCAAACAAGCCCGUGUCCAGCAGUAGAACCCAAAGAACAACCAGUACCAGGGAAGAAGAGUCUGGCCCGACCCUCAGAGAAGAAGAGUCUGGCCCGACCCUCAGAGAAGAAGAGUCUGGCCCAGCCCUCAGAGAAGAAGAGUCUGGCCCAGCCCUCAGAGAAGAAGAGUCUGGCCCAGCCCUCAGAGAAGAAGAGUCUGGCCCAGCCCUCAGAGAAGAAGAGUCUGGCCCAGCCCUCAGAGAAGAAGAGUCUGGCCCAGCCCUCAGAGAAGAAGAGUCUGGCCCAGCCCUCAGAGAAGAAGAGUCUGGCCCAGCCCUCAGAGAAGAAGAGUCUGGCCCAGCCCUCAGAGAAGAAGAGUCUGGCCCAGCCCUCAGAGAAGAAGAGUCUGGCCCAGCCCUCAGAGAAGAAGAGUCUGGCCCAGCCCUCAGAGAAGAAGAGUCUGGCCCAGCCUUCAGGGAAGGAGAGUCUGGCCCAGCCUUCAGAGAAGGAGAGUCUGGCCCAACCACCAGAGAAGAAGGGUCUGGCCCAACCACCAGAGAAGGAGGCAACACCGGAAAGGAAAGCCACAUCCUCCUUCCUCCAGAAGCUGAGAGAGGCUGGUCAGUCCAAGCCUGCCUGGAAAGCCCUGGCGUCUCCAGUGAGAGAAGCUCCUCUCACCGACCUGGAGGAUGACUUCCUGAUCCUGGAGGACGAUGGUCCUUCCUGGUUCUCCCUUCGUAGGAAGACUGACCCCAACAGGACCACAGCCACACCUCAACCGCAGCAGAAGGACCAAUCACACAGCAGUAAUGACGCCUCAGCUGACACACUCACCAAGGCCAGCCAAUCAGAGAAGGAUACAGCCAAGCUGAGAUCAGGAGGGACAGCUGAAGUGAAAACUAAAGAGAAGAAUGCUACUGGAGGCUCCUCCCUCAUACCUGUCCUCACCAAGUCUACAGCCAGGAAGAAGAGGGACUCAAGUCCCCAGGGUGAUGAGCCUGUCGAGGCAGACCACAUAGAACAAGACCCGAAGAAGAAGGUCAACAACCCGUUAUCUGAACCAACGACAGCAGGUUACCUGGAACUAGGAGGAGGGGCUAAGCCUAAACCCAGCCAAUCAAAAGCCCGCACCAAAACAGAAAAGAAAGUUCCCAGAAUAUCUAAAUUCCAAGCUGGUAUCCAAGGUAACAAGGUGAACCCCAAGACGAGCCGAGGACGAGGCCUGCAGUCUGGAAAGACCAGGAGACUGUCAGCUGGAGCUGGGGAGGAGCCCGUCAGCAUGGAGGAGGAGAGUGAAGCUGCUUCAGACCAGGAUGUUUCACCAGUUCUACAGUUGGCACCGACAGGACAGAGACGAGUCAAGGUCCCAGCCAAUCGUAAAGCCAAGGAGGUCAGCCCCUCCCCUACAGGUGAGGCUGACUCCUCCCAGGCCGGCCAGCUAACCCAGUUAGCAGGGAAGAGGAAGAGGAUCAAGCCUGGUCCCUGGUGGCUCACCAGCCCUUUCAACACACAGGUCACAGAGACAGUCAACACACACACAGCAAACAAGUACAAACACAAUAACAAGAAAACAAAAACCAAACCAGCAAGAUAUUCCUCUGUGGAGUCAGGGCAAGAGGAGGGGACAUCAAGACCCUUGUUUAAUCAGAACGCAAAGAAGAAACCCUCGUCCAAUCAAACCGCAGAAAAUAAACCCUGGUCCAAUCAGACCACAGAAAAUAAACCCUGGUCCAAUCAGACUGCAGGGCAUGAAGCAGAGAAGCCCAAGAGGGGCAGAACUAAGAAGCAAAAGACGACCAGUAGAGAGGAGCCAGCGAGGCCUGAAGGUCAGAGAGAAGAGGAGGAGGCUGAGGCCUCUACGGCAGAGCAGCAGGAGGAGCAACAGGAGCUGGGGGGGCUCAGUCCCAUGCCCAGCCCUCUCAGACAGCAUACACUCACCCCAAGUGAGAAGGUGUUUGACUGGAUCUAUACCCGCCCUCCCAAGUGUAAACCCCAGAGUGACAUCACCCCCCACUCUGCUACCGUUACCCCCAGCAGGCAGUGGCGUCAGGCCAGGGAGGCUCCAGAGAAACACAGCAGGAGGAGGAGGAAAGCUCCAGGGAACUGGUGGGUCACCAACAACCCCCCAGAGAACGCUGACAGCACCUCUUCAUUCCCUCAACAACCCCAGCCUUACCCCAAAAAACCUUCACCCCCUCAACCACAGCCGAACCCAAAAACUCGCAAGGUGGAGAGAAGUAAGUUCCUUGGACCCCCUCAGAAUGGCAACACAGCCUCCUCAACUCGACCUGGAGGAGUUCAGACCCCGCUGAAGAGGAAGGACCUCUCCGCCCCCAAGACGGUCAAGCGCUCUCUGGCCACCAUUGGCGCCGUCUUCUCCUCUGGCAGAGGAGCGCUCCCGUUGGCCACAGUCAGAAGCAGCACGUGGCAGACUUUGGGGAGGAAAACGCUAUUCCCUAGAGCGCCUGAGGAGCAGUCAGCCCAGAGCCCCAGCAUCGGCCUCAGCUCUGGGCCAGCUAAUGACCCCUCCCAGGACCCAACCAGUGACAGGAGCUCCAGCCCUGUGGAUCUGAGUGCCAGUACUGUCUGCAUAGAGCCUGUUGGACAGCUGGGGAAAAAGAAGACCAUACACCGAGACUUCUCCCAAAGCAACAACCGACUCUCAGACAACACGUAAGUACACUCCCAAAUACUACUUACUUCUGACUGUUGCUUCUCAACACGCCACUUCUGACUGUUGCUUCUCAACACGCCACUUUGACUGUUGCUUCUCUACAUGUUACUUCUGACUGUUGCUUCUCUACAUGUUACUUCUGACUGUUGCUUCUCAACACGCUACUUUUGACUGUUGCUUCUCUACAUGUUACUUCUGACUGUUGCUUCUUGUCGUGUCUUUGGCUAUGCCGGAUUAAGUGAUAUGACAUGUUAUUCUAUAAAAUCCUUUCUCCGUAAUUAAUAUUACCUGAUUGAGCUAAUCAUGGAAAUGUAAUUAACUAGAAAGUCGGGGCACAACGAAAUAAUGUUUAUAGAGCUGUUAUCUUCCGAAUAAACUCUUAAAGACCUAGUAAUAUUUUACAUCUAUAGCAGUCAAUAUUAAUCGUCACCUUAUUUCAGUCUCAUCUGAAAGUUGUAAAUUCUUGGUUAUCUUCACGAACCCUGGCUAACAAGUUGAAUCAGCAAUACAGAAUUGGGUUUAAUUAUUUAUUUACUAAAUACCUAACUAAUCACACAGAAUUACACAAACACAUAAUUAAAUCAUAACUUAAUUACAAUCUACGUCAUAAAGGAAAACGUCCCUAGCGGGCGGAACAGAUAUGACAGUUUGUUACACAAAGGAAAAGGGCUGGGUUUGAGUGAAAGAGUGGGAAGACUGAGGGACAAAGGAAGAAGCUGUGCUAUCGUAAAUACAGUAUCUUAUGCAUUCUAAAUUACCGCCCAUCUGGAAAAGGAAAAUGCAAUAAAUAUUUACUCUGAGCUGCGCUUCGGUAGGUUGGUGGUAGAUGGAAGGCUGUGUUGCCCAACCGAGUCCUUUGUCCUUUGAAGAAUGUCUCUGGUGGUAAUUGGAUACGUUGAAUUAACAUCGUUGUGUGGUAGAAGGGAUACUCUGUCUCUGUUCUUUCCUGGCCCACGUUUGCAGCUGCUGUUGCUAACUCAACGGCCCGGAGGUAUCACUUCUGUAGUGAAUAAGAGUUCAAAGUUCAUACCAUUCGCAACCAAAGCUCACGCUGAGGUUGGCUUAGUUCUGUAGUUGACAUGUUAGUCCUUUUAACGCAGAGGCUGCAGACCUCACGUACUUGGAACAGGAGGUUACAUUUUCUUCAAGGCUUUAUAUAGUGGAGCGAGAAGGGUGUGUUUGAAAAGUUGUGUAACCCAUGUCCCUUCACAGGGGCGGGCCACUAAUUGAGCAGAGCCCUAACCUUAUGAAAACCCAAAUCUCUCAUUUGGAAGAUAAAAUUACAUUUCAUCUCUUCACCAAUCAUUUUAUAUUCAAACAUUUAAAUUGAACAACAACUCUAUGUGAAACCGAUAACUACAAUGUGCAGACUUUCCACUGUAGAGUUUGUCAUCUUAUCAUUGAUGAGAAUGUCUCAGAUGACAACCGAACUGACAUCAUAUUCAUUAAGUACCACUGCAUAUGUUCAAUUGGUCGGAUUACCAGAAUAUAGUUCAACCCCCUCCCCCCACCUUCUGAUGUUCCCAGAAUCUCUGUUAACCAAGGGAUUUUCAAAUGUCACAUCAGUAGGGUAGAGAGAGGAAAAAGGGGGGGAAGAUGUAUUUAUGACUGUCAUAAACCUACCCCCAGGCCAACGUCGUGACACAAAUACAGUGGGGCAAGUUCUCCCACUUAAAAAGAUGAGGGGCCUGUAAUUUUCAUCAUAGGUACACUUCAACUAUGACAGACAAAAUGAGAAGAAAAUCACAUUGUAGGAUUUUUAAUGAAUUUAUUUGCAAAUUAUGGUGGAAAAUAAGUAUUUGGUCACCUACAAACAAGCAAGAUUUCUGGCUCUCACAGACCUGUAACUUCUUCUUUAACCUCUUGGUGUUAGGGGGCAGUAUUUUAAUUUUGGGGGGAAAACGUUCCCGUUUUAAAUGGGAUAUUUUGUCAGGAAAAGAUGCUAGAAUAUGCAUAUAAUUGGAUAGAAAACACUAACAUUUCCAAAACUGUAAAGAUAGUGUCUGUGAGUAUAACAGAACUGAUGUUGCAGGCGAAAGCCUGAGAAAAAUCCAAUCCGGAAGUGCCCCAGGUUUUCAAUGACUCGUUCCAAUGACUCCCUAUAUGGCUGUGAAUGUACCAUCAACGAGCUUACGCUUUCUACGUAUUCCCCAAGGUGUCUACAGCAUUGUAGAUGCUUUGUAGUUUUACGCAUUUCUGCUGAAGAAUAGCCGUAUGGGGGCACAUUGCGUAAGUGGUCACAUGGUGGCUCCGAGAGAGAUUCUCGCAUAAAGUGCAGAGGUAGCCAUUACUCCAAUCGGUCCUAGAGAAAAAGGAAUUAUCCCGACGGAUAUAUUAUCGAAUAGAUAUUAGAAAAACACCUUGAGGAUGGAUUCUAAACAACGUUUGCCAUGUUUCUGUCGAUAUUAUGGAGCUAAUUUGGAAUAUUUUUCGGCGUUGUGGUGACCACAAUUUCCGGGCGAUUUCUCAGCCAAACGUGAAGAACAAACGGAGCUAUUUCGCCUACAAAAAUAAUAUUUUGGGAAAAAAUAAACUUUGGCUGUCUACCUUGGAGUCUCGUGAGUGAAAACAUCCGAAGUUCAUCAAAGGUAAACAAUUUAAUUGGAUUGCUUUUCUGAUUUCCGUGACAAGUUUGCCUGCUGCUAGCAAGGCAUAAUGCUAUGCGAGGCUAUGAUAAACUUACACAAAUGCUUGUCUAGCGUUGGCUGUAAAGCAUAUUUUGAAAAUCUGAGAUGACAGGGUAAUUAACAAAAGACUAAGCUGUGUUCCAAUAUAUUUCACUUGUGAUUUUCAUGAAUAGGAAUAUUUUCGAGGAAGAUUUAUGUUCGUUGCGUUAUGCUAAUUAGUGUCAGAUGAUGAUGAUGAUAACGGUCCAGUUCACGGGCUGGGCGUCUACAGGUUAAGAGGCUCCUCUGUCCUCCACUCGUUACCUGUAUUAAUGGCACCUGUUUGAACUUGUCAUCAGUAUAAAAGACACCUGUCCACAACCUCAAACAGUCACCCUCCAAACUCCACUAUGGCCAAUACCAAAGAGCUGUCAAAGGACACCAGAAAAAAAAUUGUAGACCUGCACCAGGCUGGGAAGACUGAAUCUGCAAUAGCUAAGCAGCUUGGUUUGAAGAAAUCAACUGUGGGAGCAAUUAUUAGGAAAUGGAAGACAUACAAGACCACUGAUAAUCUCCCUCGAGCUGGAGCUCCACGCAAGAUCUCACCCCGUGGGGUCAAAAUGAUCACAAGAACGGUGAACAAAAAUCCCAGAACCACACGAGGGGGARCUAGUGAAUGACCUGCAGAGAGCUGGGACCAAAGUAACAAAGCCUACCAUCAGUAACACAC